rnacentral:tRNA from 1 species
GUGUCGGUAUUUCAGUGGUAGAAUUCUUUCCUUCCGUGUAGGAGACCUGGAUACGAUUCCCGGCCAGUGCA